CCCCUGUUCCUGGUCCCUACCAUUGAUGUCGGUUUUGGUGUGGAGCUUCCUUCUAUUGUUGCCAGAUCUGGCACAGGUUUUAUCUAACUUGGUCCCCAUCACAAUUUUGAUCUCUGAUUUUCUCACUGCUAGGUGGGAUAGCUAUGUCUUUAUUGGUAGGAUCAUAUCUAGAUUUGAGAGCAGCUUGUCGCACAGUGCGGUUUGCGUCGCCAACUCACUAGUGUGGGACAACGUGUUGAGGCCGGUGUGUGCUGACAUGCAGAAUUGGAUGCCACAAACCUUCCUAGGACCCUGGCCUCUAUCCCUGGUCCCUACCAUUGAUGUCAUUUUUGGUGUGGAUCUCCCUUCUAUUGCUAUCAGAUCUGGCACAAGUUCUGUCUAACUUGGGUCUCCAUCACAACUCAAGUCACUGAUUUUACUGUUGCUGGGGUGGGAUAGCCAUGUCUUUAUUGCUGGGCUCAGAUCCAGAUCUGAGAACAGCUUGUCGCACAGUGUUGUUGUCGUCGCCAACGCAUCUAGUGUGGGACAACAUGUUGAGGCCAGUUUGUGCUGGCAUGUAGAACAUUGGCUGCCAACCUUCCCAACACCCCCGCCCUUGCCCCUGGUCCCUAUCAUUGAUGUCAGUUUUAGUGUGGAGCUCCCUUCUAUUGUUAUCAGAUCUAGCACAAGUUCUAUUUAACUUGGUUGCCAUCACAACUCCGGCCAUUGAUUUUAUCGCUGCUAGGUGGGAUAGCCAUGUCUUUAUUGGUGGGCUCAGAUCCAGAUCUGAGAGGACCUUGUCUCAUAUAGAUGUUGGUGUCGCCAACGCAUCUAGUGUGAGACACCAUGUUGACGCUAGUGUGUGCUGGCAUGCAAAACAUGGGAUGCCACAACCAUCCUAGCACUCCUUCAGCCUAUGUAAAUGUUAUCCUCUAGUUGUUGGUUCUUGUUUCACCGUUGGACAUUAUUGGGGAGGCUGAUGGUGGGGAUUGCCUCAUCGUUGCACCUGAUGGUCCCCCACUCCCUCUUUCGCUAUGGUUUCUUUACCAAAUGAGUCUCCUACACCCAAGAUCCAACUAGCAAUUGCAAUUGUGGUGCUUCUACGCCUUGUUCUGGUGUGUGAAAGGGUGUAAUCGAGAUUGUCCACGAGGGAGUGCUUUCAUUGCGGUCUUCCCUUUGGCUUUUAUCGCUCUAGUUGGUGUAAGGCUUCCAUAUUUGGUUGGGAUGAUACCAUCACAAGGCCCUAAGCUUUUGCUAUCAAGAAGGAUUGCAAGAUGAUGGGCUAGCAACGAUCAAGUUUAAAUCAUGAUGUUCAACAAGCCAUCAGGCAUCAUGUCAUGAAGAGGUAACUAUACUUCUCAGCCUCUUUGUGGACAAUGGGUUGUGUGGUGUUCUCCAUAAGCGAGCUUGUUCACCAAUUUGUUUCUUACUUCAUUGCUUUGUUCUACUUGUUUCUAUGUGCUCAGCUACAUCUGAUCAUAAAUUGUUUGUUUGUAAUAACAUUAACACUAAUGUUAGUGGUCUUUGCAGACUCAUUUCCAAAGGGUUGUAGGUUGCACCUCUCGAUAUGCAUUCUUGGUAAGCCUAGACUUUCUAGGACCAUAUCAUAGGUUGUAUUUUUCUCUUCCUUCCAAUCAAAUAGAUGCUUAGAGAUGUCCGCAAAAAAGACAUGUCACAAAAGUGUAAUACGCCAACUUCAAGUUAUGACUUGUUAUGACGGACCCACACCAAAUAGGGCCAACAUUAUUCCUCUCUCUCUCUCCCCUCUCCUCUCUCCCCUUCUUUUCCUAGAAACCAAUACCUAUAUAAGCAAUGUCACAAUAAUAGAAACAUGAUUAUGGACUUAUGUAUAACUUUUCAAACAUUUCAUACCUCGAUUCAGGUUGAGGUUUGAAGUUAGAGAGCACUAGAGAGUGAUCUAAACCUUGAGCACUUUUGGGCGCAUCAAACAACUUCUGAAAUAUUUGUACUCUUAGAGGUGAAGCCUUCUAGACGCUUAGGUAUCACCCCCGGCUCCCAAACAUGUGAUGAGCCAUAGGAAUUGUGAGGGAACCGUCCUGUCAUUGGAAGGAAAAAAGAUCAAACUAGUCAAUUGGGAGAAGUGGUUAAAAAAAUUUGACUCCUUAGAGCACUUCAAACUAGAUGUACGGUAUACCGCGAUGAAUUUGACUUUCCUGAAUCAAUGCAUUGCAUGUCUUUCUUUGUUUUAAUUCACUUUGUUUAAUGAUUUUCAUUCAAUUAUAUGGUUGUACACUUGUACAUGUUUGUAAAUGUAGGUGAAAUAUAAAUCUAAUGCAUCAAGAGACAUAUCUCUAAAUUUGGUCUAAGCUAGAGCUCAGUAGAGAUUAGUUUCUUUUUUGGCUAUGCUUUUAUGACAAAACCAGACUGAUUGGUUUGGUAAAAUAGAGCAUUUAGUUUUGACAUAUUCUAGUUUAUGGACAAUUUUUUAACAUAUGUUACCAAUUUGGGCGUCUUGAUUGUUAUGCCAUAUUGCUCAUACACCUUUGUUUUUCAAGAAAUCCCACCAUGGAAAUGAACAUAUUUACUCCAUCUGAAAAACCUAGACGCCAUCAAAACGUUUUUUUACCCGCUCUUCAUUCAAAAUAGAGUUUGGACUUCGGAUAAAUUGGUAUGAUGAGGUUGGACGUAUUGCCCAGCUUGCCCGAUGUGUAGACAAAUUGCUGAGAAAACAUACCACAUGCUUGUGGACUGCAAAUACAAUAGGAGGAUCUGGGCACCACAAUGCAAGAAUGAUGGAAGAAUAUCACAACGGAGCAAGACACACCUUGAAAAGCGAUCAAAAGUUUUACUCUUCUUAUCUCUUGGUAAAUUUGGAAGAAAAAUAAACGACAGAGUCUCUAGGUAUCAAGAAGCUUCAAUGACAUCCAUUAUAAAUUAAAUAUCGUUAAAGUGAAGCGGGGCUAAUCUGUAGCAGGGGAGAAACAUCUAGCAAUUUUUUUAGCACAAGAAUAUAGCUUCUCUUUCAUUCCCUUGGGUGUAUACACUUUCUUCUAUAUCAAUUAUGUCAAUGACAUAGGUACAAUCCUGUGCCCGUCCAAUUAGAAAAAUGUUACACCCACCACCGACUAGAGCCUGCCAUGAUUGAAUUGAUUAGGAGCUGUUUGGUAGAGCUCUAUCUGAUUCUGAUUCUCUAUAAAAGUUGAUUCUCUGAAUCACGAUUGUGAACCACUUUAUAGAACUAGGGAAAAUACUUUUUUCACCUUUUAGCCUCUUAGCUCAUUUAAGAGAAUCACUCUUCUCUGAGAAACUGUUUGAUCGAGCUUCUACUGAAUUCAGUAGAGAAUCGACUCUAGAAACUCUGGUACGAAGAUUAGAAAGAGAGCGUGAAAAAGCUAUCUAUCCUCUUGGGACAAAAUGGAAAAUAA